rnacentral:rRNA from 1 species
CGCUAUCACUCCUACGGGGAGGCAGCAGUGGGGAAUAUUGCACAAUGGGGGAAACCCUGAUGCAGCCAUGCCGCGUGUGUGAAGAAGGCCUUCGGGUUGUAAAGCACUUUCAGUAGGGAGGAAGGUAGUGUAGUUAACACCUGCAUUAUUUGACGUUACCUACAGAAGAAAGCACCGGCUAACUCCGUGCCAGCAGCCGCGGUAAUACGGAGGGUGCGAGCGUUAAUCGGAAUUACUGGGCGUAAAGCGCAUGCAGGCGGCCUGUUAAGUCAGAUGUGAAAGCCCGGGGCUUAACCUCGGAAUUGCAUUUGAAACUGGCAGGCUAGAGUCUUGUAGAGGGGGGUAGGAAUUUCAGGUGUAGCGGUGAAAUGCGUAGAGAUCUGAAGGAAUACCAGUGGCGAAGGCGGCCCCCUGGACAAAGACUGACGCUCAGAUGCGAAAGCGUGGGGAGCAAACAGGAUUAGAUACCCUGGUAG